UUUCGAACGCAAUUCUUGUUU
rnacentral:piRNA from 1 species